rnacentral:rRNA from 1 species
AGUCACUGACAUUAGAUACCCGGGUAGUCCAGGGUGUAAACGCUGCAGACUUGGUGUUGGAGGCCCUUUGGGGGCAUUCAGUGCCGGAGAGAAGUUGUUAAGUCUGCUACUUGGGGAGUACGUCCGCAAGGAUGAAACUUAAAGGAAUUGGCGGGGGAGCACCGCAACGGGAGGAGCGUGCGGUUUAAAUGGAUUCAACACCGUAAAACUCACCAGGGAAGACUGUUACAUGAAGGCCGAGAUGAAGACUCUGCUAGAUUUUCAG